GUUUAUCUUGCACAUAAUCAGGUCAUGACCACUGGUGCCUUAGUAACCAUGAGCUAGAAUUCUAGCCCACUGAUUAAUUCAUUUUUAUACACCAUAACUCUGUUUGGGAUCGGGGUACCUGGUCUUAUGUGCACUACCUUUUCCAUUGAAAAUAAAGGUUGGGCUGGUGGAAGCAGCCUGGAGCAUAUUAGACUAACGGCAAAGGUGAAAGCGCUAAGGAGGAAACUCAGUAUAUAGUUGAAAUCAGCAUUUCACAAACAAACAAAGGAGUACGGAAAAAUGUAGGGAGAGUUGUAGGCUCCUUUUAUAGCAGCUUUAGGAGAGUGCUAUGAAUUUUAAGCAGACUCCAGUACUACAGCAUGCUAACAGAUCAAAAUUGCAACCAAGUAUGGGUGUUUGCUGUCUUUACCACCCCUGAUGUUCCCACCACACUCAUCCCCAGCAGGUUGCAGUGAUGACUGCACAGCAGGUUGUGUCCUUCCAAACACAGUGUCUGUGCUUAUGGGGCACCUGUAAGAAGACUCAGAGGAUGGCUGAGGAUGGAGGCCAAGAGAUAGCAGAAGUGCAUCAGAAAGAUCAAAAAAGAACUCAUCUUUUCAACUGGCCUGCACGUCUGCUUGCGAAGUUUCAUUUAGGCACACACGUCACUCCUGAUAUCCCCAGAGCACUUUGCGUGAGACCACCAGGCUGAAGAGGUAGAAGAACAUUUGAGGCUGAGUUGUGCAUCACCAAAGCUGGGUAAGUAGGACAAGUUAAAAAGCAGUAAUGUUUUGGCCAACGUUUUCCCAAAACAUUCACGUGCUUUCCUCACCAGGAAGUUUCAAAAUGUGACCAGCUUUAACACGGGGUCCUAACAUGACCUGUUUAUAAUGGAAACUCAAAGGCUUAUAUCAAUGUGAAACGUCACCAUUGUAGUGGCAGAUAAACCGUGGAUGUUAAAAAUCUGCCUUAAAAUCUUAUGCGGUCCUGACCAUAUGCAAGGCCUUCUUUCCCCCUCUUCUGUGACCUCUGUAAUUUUGCCAGCUGCCAUUCACAUCCACAGCAAACUAAAAAUAUAGGCCGAUCUGCUUCCUUCAGAGAAGUUCCUGGACAGUUUAUAAGCCUGGGGCUUUCAAUGCAGGCAAAGGGGGAAAAAAUCCACUCUCAGUUGUAAAGUACUGUAAAGGUAAGCUUAAAAUCUCAUUUGAUAUGACUAAGAAGAAAAGGAUAUGACAUGCUUUUGGUCUUUCAAAGCUCUCGGUAUGCUAGAUGGCUAUAGAAAGCUUCUAUGUGCAAGAAUGAGCCCUGAAGCUAGCAGGAAAAAUCAAUAAGAAGAAAUUAUGCUGGAAAUAUCAGAAUCAAUAAUUAUUUAAAGGACGUCUUCCUUGCCCAGGAACAGUGCAAAGCGAAACAGGCAACGUGCCCAAAACAGGCCAGCGGAGGAAGUGAAGAGAACUGGGAAAAGCUCUUUAGAGUCCAUACGCCAUCUAUCACAGCCUGAACAAUCUUUCAGUUAAGAGCUGG
rnacentral:lncRNA from 1 species